rnacentral:lncRNA from 10 species
CUUUGGACUUUCUAGGGCAAGGCAGGCUCACAAAGCUUUUGUUUGGAGGGGUUCCAGUAAUUUCUCACAGUGAAAAUAGAAUUAUUGCCCUUCUAACGUCAUUUAAGUGUUUAAUAAUCAAAGUGGAAUGGUCAUGGGCUGUCUUGUGUGCCCCUGCCAUUGGAUGUGUGACCUUAUUUGGGGUGACAUGGCAAAUCUAAACCCAACAAAGCUGCUGCAAAGGGUCUACUCUCGGCUAUUACUCCUGGGAAAUGUGCGGCUCAGACACCACGACCUUCACUCCACUCCUGGUCACCAGGGGUUUCACUUUCUAUGGCAUUUACUUCUGCACAUUUUGGGAUUUAAAAAAAUGAAGAUUGUAUUACUUUCGUAAUAAGCAAAAAAGAUAGUUUUAAAAAGUCUUUCAGACCAGGUGUGGUGGCGCACGCCUGUAAUUUCAACACUUUGGAAGGCCGAGACAGGUGGAUCACUUGAGGUCAGGAGUUCCAGACCAGCCUGGCCAACACGGCAAAACCUCGUCUCUAAUGAAAAUACAAAAAUUAGCCAGGUGAGGUGGCCCGCGCCUGUAAUCCCAGGUACUCCGGAGGCUGAGGUAGAACUGCUUGAACCUGGGAGGUGGAGGUUUCAGUGAGUCGAGAUUGCAUCACUGCACUCCAGGUUGGGCAACAGAGCAAGAUUCCGUAUU